GACGAACGCUGGCGGCGUGCUUAACACAUGCAAGUCGAACGAUGAAGUUAUGACGGAGGCUUCGGCCGACAGAAUAACGGAAUAGUGGCGGACGGGUGAGUAACGCGUGAGUAACCUGCCUUUCAGAGAGGAAUAACAUUUGGAAACGAAUGGUAAUACCACAUAACAUUACGUUCUCGCAUGGGGAUGUAAUCAAAGAUUUUAUCGCUGAGAGAUGGACUCGCGUCCGAUUAGCUAGAUGGUGAGGUAACGGCCCACCAUGGCGACGAUCGGUAGCCGGACUGAGAGGUUGAACGGCCACAUUGGGACUGAGACACGGUCCCAAGACUCCUACGGGAGGCAGCAGUGGGGAAUCUUCC
rnacentral:rRNA from 1 species